rnacentral:siRNA from 1 species
UUCGAUGGCCAUUGUACUGGAU